UUGCAUGUUAAUUCUGGCUCAAUCAAUACAGUUUUUAUUUCGAAGUUGACCUUUCUGCAUUUUCUUAAGUUUUGAAUGCUUAUAUGCUUCAUGAUUGUAUGCUUGUUGGAUGGAUUAUUUGUUUUAAUUAAUUAUCUUUUGGAUGUUUAAAAUCAUGAAUUGUGCAUUAAAUUGGCUCUUGAGAUGUUUCGGGAUCACAAAAUGAUCACGGAAUUGAUAGAAACAAGCCGAAAAGCAAGUAGAGUGCAAGUGGACAGCAACCAGGCGGCUAGCCGCUUGGAAAACUGUCCCAAACCCGAGAGCAAGCGGCUAGCCGCUUGGUCACUGGUUGGGAAAUUUUUUUUUGCUUGUUCUUCUUCCUUCGUGAUUUUUCUGCACAUGUUUCUCUUCUCUCACCAAAACCGUGAACAUCCUCUCCAUUUUCACCUCCAUUUUCUUCCUUUUUCAUCCAUUUUCAUGCCCAAAUCAACCAUUCAAACUAAUACCCAUGCAUUUCAUCUUCAUUAAACACUUCUCCAUCAUGAUUUCUUCACUUAUUUUUCACCAUUUCAUCAUCAUCUCUCACGAGUGAACAGUACCUCACCAUUUCUCUCUCAAAAUUCUUCAUCUUUCACUCAUUUUCUUGUUAAAAUCAAUCAUCCAAAUCAUUAUUCAUCCAUUACUCCUUCAAUUUUCGUUCUCAAAACUUCAUUUCAUCAACUCUCCACAUUAAACCCAAAAUCAAAAACCUAACUCUACCCGUUUCUCUCUCUACAUUUUCAAGCUUCCUUUAGCCCAUUUUUGAUCCAAUCUAACUCAUAUGUUAGCUUCAUUCAUCUCUAGGAUCAAUUUUCUUGGCUCAAACAAAUCCAUUUCACUCAAUUUUUGUUAAACCCGAAAUUGCAUAUUUAAGCUCUUUUUAAUCCACUUUUGAUCCAAUCAUCACCAUCCAUUAUCUUAAAUCAUCUCUUGGAUCAAUAUAAUCGGUUUAAAAUCAUUCAUUUCACUCAUUAUUUUACAAAACCGAAUUUGUGCAUUUUGGGUAUAUGCACCUACAUUUUCAUAUGCAUAAUUAUGGAUUGUGGAUGAUGGUUGUUUAAUAUUUGGAUAUGUUAUAUUUGGAUGAUGUUUUAUGCUUAAGUCUUAUGUGUUGCUUGAUAACUUGGUGGAGUUGUUGGUUUGUUAUACUUAUUAAACCUUAUAUGGAAGUGUUUUUAACUAUGUUGUGUAUUUGAGGAUUUGUCCAUUUUAAGGGGAGACUCUGACGAAAUUUUUUCUCGCACAAAAUUGGUAAUAUCUUUAUCGAAUUAUUUUUGAUGCUUUUGUUUCAAUUGUAUCUAUCUAUUUUUUUAUGAUAAAGGGGGAGAUAAAAAUGAUAUGUUUUUGGAUAAUAUGCAUUUUGGAUAAAUUUUUUAAUUGGCCAUAUAUUUAGGGGAGCAUAUAAUAUGAUUUUGGAUAAUAUGCAUUUUGAGCAUUCUUUUGAUGGCAUGAUGGUUCAUGAUCAUUUAAUGGUUAAUUGGAUGUUUGGUUAUUAUAUAUAUUUUUUUUAUUAACCAUUGACAUAUUAUUGAUCUUAGCAUGAAUUUCUAAUAAUUUUGAUGAUGAAGGGGGAGAAGUCAUGUAUUUUGAAUAUAGAGACAUAUAAUAUGUAUUUUGAUAUUGAAGUAUUUAUGAAUGGUUUUGAAAUAUUAAGGGGGAGUUUUUGUUUUGAAUUUGAUUUAUAUGUUUAAUUAUAUAUGCCAUGUAUUAAGGGGGAGUAUAAAUGUCAAAAUACAUGAGAUGUUUGUCAUCAUCAAAAAGGGAGAGAUUGUUAGCCUAAAGGGCUAUACAUAAUGUAAUUUUGAUGAUAACAAACAUAUGUAUUGAGUGAUUUAAUAAAUAUUGUAUUUCACAUUUUUACUAGUUUUUGAAGGAUAAUAUUUAUACAAGUAAAUCAAGUGAAAUCAAGAUUGAAGACACUCAACGGACAAUGGCGACAUCAAGAAUAGUUUAGAGCUCAACGAACAAAUUAGUGCAAUAAAUUCUUGUAAAGCCGGUAUGAUUUAAUUGAUGUUUGAUUUAGCAUUUGAGAAGCUCAAGAAAUUAAUUUAAUUAAAUAAUUUUCAUAAACUAAAAGUUUUUGUUUUUAUAAAGAAAAGUAUUUUGUGAAUUUAAGUAAUUUGGACUUAAAUGCUAAGAUUUGAAAUCUUUGAUUUUAAUAAGUAUUAAAAUUCGGAGUUGGACGUUUUUACAAACAUUUGAAAUGUUUUGGGCCAUACUAUAAUUUAUGAAUAUUUUGGACUAAAGUGAAAGAUUUUGAGAACUUUGAAAAAUAUAGGUAUUAUGUUGAAAAGGACCUUUGUGUGAAACAAGAAAAUCUUUGGGGCCAUAUCAUAAUUUCAGAAAGUUUGAGAAAGACAUCUAUUUUUAUGAAGUUCUGAAAUUGGACCUAUUUGUAAAGUUUUCUGACGUUU
rnacentral:lncRNA from 1 species